GACGAACGCUGGCGGCGUGCUUAACACAUGCAAGUCGAACGCUGAAGACCUGGCUUUUGUUGGGCUGGCUGCGUGGCACACGGGUGAGUAACACGUGAGUCACCUGCCCUCUUCUUUGGGAUAACGCCCGGAAACGGGUGCUAAUACUGGAUAUUCACUGAUCUUCGCCUGGGGGUUGGUGGACAGGUUUGUUCUGGUGGGGGAUGGGCUCGCGGCCUAUCAGCUUGGUGGUGGGGUGAUGGCCUACCAAGGCUUUGACGGGUAGCCGGCCUGCGAGGGUGACCGGUCACAUUGGGACUGAGAUACGGCCCAGACUCCUACGGGAGGCAGCAGUGGGGAAUAUUGCACAAUGGGCGAAAGCCUGAUGCAGCGACGCCGCGUGAGGGAUGGAGGCCUUCGGGUUGUAAACCUCUUUCGCGCAUGGUCAAGCCGCAACUGUGGGUUGUGGUGAGGGUAGUGGGUAAAGAAGCGCCGGCUAACUACGUG
rnacentral:rRNA from 1 species